UGUCUUGGAAUGGCGCGCUAACCCGGUGAUGUGUGCGUCCGGUUUAGAUUAGAUGGAUAGUUAUAAAUAUUGCCUGAUGGGUUACUCCAUUCAUAUAUUCACUCGAAACCAAGUUCCAUCAGCUAGCUUUAUGCCAUUCCACCUCACUCUCUCGAUAGCAACAUAUUAUGUAGGUACAGUGUUUAUAUAAUAAUGUAUAAACUCUCAAGUACCUACAAAUAUCUGCUGCUGCUGCUGGAGGAUAUAUCUACUUCAAUUGUCGCUAAUUUUGAAUGCAAAUGAAGGCUAUUUGUAGUACCUAUCUAUCUAUCUACUUACCUACCUACAUACCUAUCUAGCUAGCAAUGUGAUGAUAUGAUGAUAAUGAUAGGCAAAGACAGCUUCUCUUUAGUCUCUCGUAUAACCUGCACGCACCCACUUUAGCCUCAACAUUCCGUGUUUGGAAUCAGUAAACGGACAGAAACAAACACUCAUAUGAAUGAGUACUCAUAUGGGUAUGCAUAAUAUUAUUGAAGGGGUUAUCACAAAUAAUUGCAUAACGUUUCAAUAUUUUUUUUUGCUUCGUUCGUCUUCUCAAUUUGAUGAGUGUUACGGAGGGUAAAGUACCCUACCAAAUACCCUACGAUUAUAGGAAAACAUACGUACCCUGGUCUCUAGACAAGGAAGAGAAGUAGAGCAAUCGGUUGGAGGAAGCGUUUAUUGGGGAUAAAUUAGAGACACACACGAUACACCAGAGAAUCUGAUAAGAAUACAAAUUCACAAAGCCAAACACCGCCCGCGCCGAUAUCAUUGACAAGGUUAUUGAAGAUUCGAAUUGUUCAAGGUGGUAUAAUGAUGCUGGUGAAUAACCUUUCUAAACCAAACACUUGUUUGCCAUAAGUGUAUUAAUUUUUGCACCAAACGCUUUUUUUGGUAUCAAAAAACUGAUGAUUGAAUUACCAUUCAAAACAGCAAACGAUACAAUUAAGUGAAAUUGCCAUAUGUCUAAGAUUUAGUAUUCAAUUUCUUGUAUGUACAGUUGUGGUCAUAAAGAAAAGCUACUGACAUUAAAAUUAUAUUUUUUGGUUAAAAAUUAUGUUUUUAUUUUCAAAAUUAAUGUUUUAACUUUGCUUUUUAAUAAUCAAACAUUUUUAAACAGCAUUUAAUAUCAAAACGCAG